AUGAGCGGCGGGGCGUCGCUGGGGCUCAGGACGUCCGGGAGCUAUGGGUCCCUGCAGCAGCCCAACGGCCAGUCCCCCUCCCCGUCGCCGCCGGUGGCGGUCCGGAAGCCCGGGAAGAUGUCCCUCGGCGGCGGCGGCCGCGGGGGCGAGCGCCUCCUCUUCGCCCGGAUCUGCAUGUUCGCGGGCCGUCGCCGCCGGAUGCUCCUGCUCCUCCUCGUCGCCGUCGCUCUCGUCGUCUGCUUCCUCUUCUCAUCACUUGUCAGUAAAGAUGAAGUUGCAGCACCUGGCACCGAGACCAUGCUGGGAUUAUCUGAUCAUGUCCGGAGCUUUGUAAAUCCUGUAUGGACAUCUUCUUUGAGUGGAAAUGAUUUGAAUACAACAUCACCAACAGUAAAACAGCCGGACAUCAGUCAUGAAAAGGUUCAGGGUCUUUCACGGAGUUUCCCGCCAGCUAUUCACCUGGAGCACCAUCCUUGUGAAAAUUUCUCAUUUUCUCCUCCACCUAUUGAUAGGAAACGUACUGGACCACGGCCAUGUCCUGUUUGUUAUGUGCCUGUUGACCAGGCCCUGGCAUUGAUGCCAGCUGCUCCAACAGCAUCACCUAUCCUUCAAAGUUUAAAUUAUUUGUCCGAAGACAAUUUGGUACUCAAAGAGUCCAACAGUGGUUCUUUGUUUGGUGGUUAUCCAUCUCUGGGACAACGAGAUAUGUCUUUUGACAUAAAAGACUCGAUGGCAGUACAUUGUGGAUUUGUGAGGGGGAAGAUACCUGGUAUCAAUACUGGAUUUGAUGUAGAUGAAGCUGAUCUGUCUGAGAUGCGGCAGUGCCAGGGGACAGUUGUUGCUUCUGCUAUUUUCGGGAAUUAUGAUAUAAUGCAACAACCAGAAAACAUCAGUGAAUUUUCAAAAGAUACUGUUUGCUUCUUCAUGUUUCUGGAUGAAGAAACAGAAGCUGCAAUAAAGAACACCACUGCUGUUGAUAAUACGGAAAAAAUCGGGCUGUGGCGGGUGGUUGUUGUCCACAACCUUCCUUAUUCGGAUGCAAGGCGGAAUGGAAAGAUAACAGAUCCAUCCGAGACGAACAUGUUCCCAUUCUUUUCUGCAUUGGAUGAGUAUGUGAAAAUUUGGAUUGCACAACCAGGAGAGGAGGAUGCCAUGCUUAAUAUUCCAAAACUAUUACUUCAUCGGCUCUUUCCUAAUGCGCGGUAUUCACUCUGGAUCGAUGGGAAACUUAAACUUGUGAAGGAUCCUUAUCAGCUAUUAGAGAGAUUCUUAUGGAGGAAAAAUGUGAGCUUCGCUAUUUCCAGGCAUUAUAGACGCUUUGACGUCUUUGAGGAAGCUGAGGCGAACAAGGCUGGUGGGAAGUAUGAUAAUGCUUCAAUCGACAACCAAAUAGAGUUCUACAAGAGAGAGGGCUUAACCCAUUAUUCAUCAGCUAAGCUUCCUAUUACAAGCGAUGUCCCUGAGGGCUGUGUAAUAAUAAGAGAGCACAUACCCAUCACCAAUCUCUUCACAUGCCUUUGGUUUAAUGAAGUUGACCGCUUCACCUCAAGAGAUCAGAUAAGCUUCAGCACAGUGAGGGAUAAAAUAAGGUCAAGAGUUAAUUGGACUGCAGACAUGUUCCUGGAUUGUGAGAGGCGCGAUUUUGUUGUUCAGGCAUACCACAGAGAACUCAUGGAGCAAAGGCUGGCUGCCUUACGGAGCCAGCCUCCGCCGCCUCCGCCUCCACCUCCACCGCCCCCUCCCGUGGUGCGUGUGCAGCAACCUCGAAAGAUGCUCCCAGACAGCGCAUCAAAGGAACCUGGGAGAGCUUCCAAGAAGCCAGCAGGGAGGCGCUCACGGAAAUCAGGCUCAAAACGGUCCCAUCGAACGAAAGCCUCCAGCGGGAAGGAACCCAUUCGACUGUAA
rnacentral:rRNA from 1 species